rnacentral:rRNA from 1 species
UACGUAGGGUGCGAGCGUUAUCCGGAAUUAUUGGGCGUAAAGAGCUCGUAGGCGGUUUGUCGCGUCUGCUGUGAAAACUGGGGGCUCAACCCCCAGCCUGCAGUGGGUACGGGCAGACUAGAGUGCGGUAGGGGAGAUUGGAAUUCCUGGUGUAGCGGUGGAAUGCGCAGAUAUCAGGAGGAACACCGAUGGCGAAGGCAGAUCUCUGGGCCGUAACUGACGCUGAGGAGCGAAAGCAUGGGGAGCGAACAGG